AUUGAACGCUAGCGGGAUGCCUUACACAUGCAAGUCGAACGGAGUGGCGAACGGGUGAGUAAUGUAUCGGAACGUGCCCAGUAGCGGGGGAUAACUACGCGAAAGCGUAGCCAAUACCGCAUACUAUUGGAGCGGCCGCUAUCGGAUUAGCUAGUUGGUGGGGUAACGGCUCACCAAGGCGACGAUACAUAGCCGACCUGAGAGGGUGAUCGGCCACACUGGGACUGAGACACGGCCCAGACUCCUACGGGAGGCAGCAGUGGGGAAUUUUGGACAAUGGGGGAAACCCUGAUCCAGCCAUCCCGCGUGUGCGAUGAAGGCCUUCGGGUUGUAAAGCACUUUUGGCAGGAAAGCGGUACCUGCAGAAUAAGCACCGGCUAACUACGUGCCAGCAGCCGCGGUAAUAC
rnacentral:rRNA from 1 species